AGAGUUGAUCUGGCUCAGAAUGAACGCUGGCGGCGUGCUUAACACAUGCAAGUCGCACGAGAACACCUCAGCUUGCUGGGGUAAGUAAAGUGGCGCACGGGUGAGUAACGCGUGGGUAAUCUGCCCUCGAAUCUGGGAUAACCCCGCGAAAGCGGGGCUAAUACCGGAUGAAAUCCAGUUAGCUUUGGCUAUAUGGAUCAAAGGUGGCCUCUGCAUGCAAGCUACUGUUUGGGGAUGAGCCCGCGUACCAUUAGCUUGUUGGUGGGGUAAAGGCCCACCAAGGCGACGAUGGUUAGCUGGUCUGAGAGGAUGAUCAGCCACACUGGAACUGGAACACGGUCCAGACUCCUACGGGAGGCAGCAGUGAGGAAUUUUGCGCAAUGGGGGUAACCCUGACGCAGCAACGCCGCGUGAGUGAUGAAGGCCUUCGGGUCGUAAAGCUCUGUCAAGUGGGAAGAACCCAUUCCGGCACAACAAGCCGGGGUGCUGACGGUACCACUGAAGGAAGCACCGGCUAACUCCGUGCCAGCAGCCGCGGUAAUACGGAGGGUGCGAGCGUUAUUCGGAAUUACUGGGCGUAAAGGGCGCGUAGGCGGCCGAUUAAGUCAGAUGUGAAAUCCCGGGGCUUACCCCCGGAAGUGCAUUUGAUACUGAACGGCUUGAGUAUGGGAGAGGGAAGUGGAAUUCCUGGUGUAGCGGUGAAAUGCGUAGAUAUCAGGAGGAACACCGGUGGCGAAGGCGACUUCCUGGACCAAUACUGACGCUGAGGCGCGAAGGCGUGGGGAGCAAACAGGAUUAGAUACCCUGGUAGUCCACGCAGUAAACGGUGAUCACUAGGUGUAGCGGGUAUUGACCCCUGCUG
rnacentral:rRNA from 1 species